rnacentral:rRNA from 1 species
AUGAUGCGUAACUUUCUUCAUCAGUUUUAUCUUUGGGGUUUACUACAAUGCAGCACUGACUUUCACGCUGCAUGUUCUGCAGUACUAGUAGAUGCGGAUUUAUCUAUGCAUGUAUGCUUGGUGAGAGACGUAGCUCAUCAUUCCGUCUGGCUAUGUUAUUUUUGUUCAGUUAAGUAUGAGUUCAUUUUUCUCUCCAAACAGAAAGUUUCGGUUCAGUUUACUCACAAGAUGGUAAAUGCAUGGUUUCUCAUGAAGUGUGUUGGAAAAUCAGGAUUUUGGGAAUCUAUUUCCACAUGUAUUUUCAGUCACAGAGGCAGCAAAACAGAUGCCCAGAACCAGGACCAGGAGAAUGAGAUGAAGACAUCUCCCGUCGCAAAGCUCAUCCGGAGAGGGUAUAUGUUCCCAGGAUAUCCACGCACAUCCCAUCACCCGGCACUCCGUACGGCUCUCCGCCACCGCCAAAAGACGGAGCCAAUGUAA